CCGGCCCCAACUGCUGACAGAGCUUCUGGUGCAGCCCAGACACAGGAUACAGAAAGUCAACUUGGUACAGGUUUGGCUCCUUUGAUGAGUGUUUUCCUAGCUGCACUUUGGGAGAAAAGAAGGCAGAGCACCCCCAUGUGCGGGCACACCCACAGAGCAGUGUCUGCAAACCUGCUUUGGCACAGCACACAAGAUGGGAAAACUGAAGAGUCCAGGAGGGAACACUCUCUCCCGCAUUCACGGGCUGCCUGACACCACAGCUUAUAAUAGCAGGCGCUGUCUCCACUGCUAGAGAAACGUAGCCCUGGCCUGAAGGUAUCAGAGGUGGCAAGACCUAGAAAAGCUCCAAUAGGAGUCAGGCUGCCUUCUGCAGGCAGAACCGCUUGCGUGCUCUAUGAAACACUGGAUCGCUUGAUGCCCUGGCUGAGAAAGAGCUUCACUGUAGAGUAAGGGGGAGAAAGCCAUUACACAGCGUAUUGUCACUGCUGCAUGUAUAUUGUACACUGAACACUUUUUAGGGGAGCCAUUUUAUCCUUAUCUCUGCAAAUGACACCUGGAGCUGUGCAGUGCACAACCUGUGCAACCUCACAUGGCACCCCAUUUUUACAGAUAUGAGGUAAAAUAAAAAUGCAAAGGUACACAUACAAUGUUAGAAGUGGCAUAUUAAUGGUGAUUUUUGUUUUCUUCUCUGAGCUUUCCCUGCAUUUUCCAAUGGUUUUUCUAUAGUGAAGAGGCUUGCAAAACACGCCAGGCCCAGUUGCAAGUGCCUAGUAUGUAUUAACUCUGCUAAGAUACACAACAAUUCUAUAAGGUAGGCAGCAGUAGAAUCCCCACCUCAGAGAUGAGAACUCUGAGGUGCCAAGACAUCAUGAAACUUGUCCAAGGAGCUACCAGGAGACCCAGCUGGCCACCACCAGCUCUGCAUUUUCAAUCACCAAUGUUCACGUGCCUCCCAGUUGCAAAGAAUCCUUCCUUCAUAAAUUUGUUCUGGUUCUAUAUUGUCUUGAAUGUACUCACUAGAAGAG